UAGGGAAUCUUCCGCAAUGGACGCAAGUCUGACGGAGCAACGCCGCGUGAGUGAAGAAGGAUUUCGGUUCGUAAAACUCUGUUGUUAGAGAAGAACAGCGCAUAGAGUAACUGUUAUGCGUGUGACGGUAUCUAACCAGAAAGCCACGGCUAACUACGUGCCAGCAGCCGCGGUAAUACGUAGGUGGCAAGCGUUGUCCGGAUUUAUUGGGCGUAAAGCGAGCGCAGGCGGUCAAUUAAGUCUGAUGUGAAAGCCCCCGGCUCAACCGGGGAGGGUCAUUGGAAACUGGUGGACUUGCGUGCAGAAGAGGAGAGUGGAAUUCCAUGUGUAGCGGUGAAAUGCGUAGAUAUAUGGAGGAACACCAGUGGCGAAGGCGACUCUCUGGUCUGUAACUGACGCUGAGGCUCGAAAGCGUGGGUAGCAAACAGG
rnacentral:rRNA from 1 species